AAAAGACCCUUAGACGAUUCUAAUCUGGACAACUUUAACCGCCACCGGGUUUGUGGAAUGCACAGUAUAACUGACCUUCCCACAACUCAAACAUGUCCCACCCCGUAAGACACACACACUAGAACACUUCCACGUCAGCUUAUUUGAGGGCUCGGUGUGGCCUCAGCCAAGUUUCAUGUAUUUAUCAUCUACUGAAAAACUUCCAGUACUUUCAGAACCAAACAACGAAUAAAAGCAACAACAACAACAACAAAAAGCAGAAGGAUGAAGAAAUGAACAGUCCUUGUUGGAUUUGAAGAACUGAUGAGGUCAUGCUAUGAUUACAUCUGAAUUGUCUAGCUUUACCAUCCAUUGAAAAUAACUAGAUACCUCUCAGCUUUAUAAACUUCUCCUAAGGUACCCUGUUUCCAAUUCACUACGUGUCUUAUUUCCUUAUGGAAAAAGACAAUUUCCAGAAGUCAGAAUUAGAGAAGAGUGGAUCUUCCAAAAGAACUACUCCCAAAAGAAUUAUCCAUUUCGUUGAUGGAGAUGUCAUGGAAGAAUAUAGCACAGAGGAGGAAGAUGAAGAGAAAGAGGAACAGGAAACAAAGUCAACACUUGAUCCUUCUACACUUUCAUGGGGGCCCUACCUAUGGUUUUGGGCAGAGCAAAUAGCAAGCACCUCAUUUUCUACAUGUGAAUUCCUCGGUGGAAGAUUUGCUACCUUCUUUGGCCUUAAUCAACCCAAAUAUCAGUAUGUGUUAAACGAAUACUAUAGGACACAAAGUAAGGAAAGUGACAAGGAAAGUGAAGGGGAUGGAUCAAAGGCCCAGCCAGCCAAGAUUCCUAAUGAAAGGUGUCAUCUGGAAGCUAGGGGCCAAGAGUAUGGAACUAGACAACAGGACAUCAUAGAGGGUGUUCCUCAGUGGAGCGCCUCCUCCAGGGAGGGCCUGGCAGCAGAUUUCAGCUCAUAAUGGCCAGCAGGACUAUAGUUCCUGUGGAUGUCUGUUCCACUGCUAUUGGUGACCAUGACCAAAGCACCACAGGUAGUGCUCCUGAGCUGAUCUGUGAUUUAUUCAGCAAGCAAUAAUGAGAAUUAUGGAUGCGUUCUCAAUUUUAUAAGCCCCCCAAGUCAACUCCCGCCCCCCCUUCCGCCCAGCAGUGAUGCAAGUCUUGCUAGUCAGUUAUGAACUCUUAUUAUUGAUGUUUGCACAGAAAUGCAAAUGCCCUACGGAAUUUGGAUCUGGCAGUUUUGGACUGAAACUCUUCAUCAUGGGGCUAGGGUACAGAAAAGAAGCUCUCUUCCCGAAGAUACUUCGGGCAUUGUGAAGACUAAAUAAGUCUCCUUUCAGCGUUUGAUGUAAGAUAAAUAAAUAAAAUAUUAAAAAGAAAAAGAACUCCACCUUGUAAUGGGCUUGACUUCUCAAUAAUGAAAGGCCACAUGGAAAGAAAUUCCCAAGGAUGAAAGACUCUCGUGCAUUCCAGUCCCAGCCAAGCUCCUCACCAAAUGCAGCCACAUAAAGGACCUCUUUAUCCUACGUGGAGCAGAUGAACCCUGCAGCUGAGUCCAGUCAACCCACAGAAUCACGAGAAAUAAUAAAUCAUUAUUGUUUUGGAGUGGUUUGCUAUGUAGGAAUAUGCAGCUGAAAUAAUAGCUCUAAGAGAAGGGGAACUUGGAAUUGAUCUGAUAUAAAAUCUAGAAGAAGGCCUGGAGAAUAAGGCAUUGUUGGUUGAAUAUAUGAGAAUAAGACAGGUUUUGUGGCAUAAUAGGACAACUCUAAGACCUCAGUGGUUUGAAACAACAACACUUUGUUUCCUUCUCGUGAGAAGUCCACUGUCAGUUCAGGUGGCUUCCCAGAGUGUUGGCGCAGUGGUACCUGCAUCUCUGAUCCUACGAUUCCUCCAGACUGUGAUGCAUUCAGGGCUGCUGAAGCAGAAGUGGAGUGGGCAGUUAAGCACUCGCAAUCAGUGUCUCCACUAAGAAUAAAACAUGUCACUUUUGAUUAUGUUUCUUCCACCACAGCAAAUCACAUGGACACAAUUAACUUCAAGGGGUGUGAGCCUCCUAAGACAGCUGAGAAGGGGAAACACUUUCUUCCAGCAGCAGUACGGGAUAAAUGACAGACUCAAGCAUCGAUAUGAUUCAGCCAAUCAAAGAAUCAGGUGUUGGAAGUAGGACAAAGGGUAACAAAGUGGAACUGAAAUCAAUGAACGGUGACCCCAAACUGGGUAAUGAACUGGAAGCUGAACAAAUCAACCAGCCCUAAACUUCUGCUCAGAAAAGACCUCACACCACCCAAAAAGAAAGAGUUGAACCUAGGUCAGAACAAUAAUGGGGGAUUAAUCUGGAACAGCACAAGUGUCAAGUAUGGGUGACUCGCUGAAAUAAUGAAUAGGCAAUCGGAUCUUCAUCAAUCAUUCCUAUUACUGACGCUUAUGAGUACACAAACCAACCAUCUCUCUGGGGCAGUGCCUGGGACACAGAACCUUCUCAAAAAUGUAUUGCCAAGAUGUCUACCAAGAAAACAAGUGUGAAGAGGUCAUUAACGAUCAGGAUUGAAGCAGUGUUCUCAACUAUGACAUCCCACUGUCCUGUGCAAGAGAAGUCGGAGCGCUUCCUCACGCUGCACACCUUUGACUGGGAAUAAGACAAACUUGGACUUGCAGCCUCUAUUCCCCAUUACCUCCUGUCCCCGAAAUUUGGGCCUCAGUGAGUAAGGAAAUGAGGAGGGAGAUCCUGCUCACUUCACUGGAGAUGCCUGUAGAAUAACCUCCCAGACUGAACAGGUGUGCAUUACUGCCCUUCACUCUGGCCUGGCUCUUGACCCGACCAAGAAGGUUCUGCACAAGCUGAGUGCUCCCUGCCCCACUCACCAGAAACUGGAUGUGCUUCAGUAGGUGAAAGUGUUGUACAUACAUCCUGAGAGUCCCUCAAGAAAGCAAGAAAAUUCAGCCCAGGAAGUCCAUCUGCUUUGACCACUUUGGUGUCAGCAGCAAGAGCAGCUUUCUGGACAGGUUGGAAAGCCCAUCAGAGCUAGGCCAACCAGUUCCCAGUGGGAUAAGGAGCUGGCUUCAGGAUGUAAAUCAAUGUACUGCUUCAAGACAAGCUUGCACAACAGCUGAAAGUGAACAACAACCAGAAGCUCAAGUAAAAUUCUGUUCAUCAUCUUAUUUUUGUAAUCCUUCCUUGCCUGCCCCUUGCUCUAUCUCCUUUGGCUCAAAACUCCUCUUUGAGAUUCAGAAAAUAAUAUGCAGAAAUGUCUAUGUCUAUAGUUCUAAACCUUAAACCCACGCUAUUCAAGGUGUUUUAGAUAGGAUACAUGAGUCCUUGAACCUCCCAAGGAUGUAUGCAAAAGUUGUGCAUGGGUGAAUUUGCAUUUUUCUGGGGGAAAAUAUCCAAGUAUUCAUCUUCCUUAAAGGGAUAUGAGAUGCAAAAACAUCAAAAGAUCCUUGUUGAUGGUAAACUUACAAAAGUCUUAGGAAACCCUAAACAACACCAAUUUAAAUGAUCAAAAAAGGAGCCAAAAGAUCAAGGCAUUUAAGAACUUUUUCCUUUUUUGGGAUGCCUGGGAUAAUGCUAUCACAUAAGAGAUGGCAGUAAAUAUUUAUUGGCUAUUUAUUUAGUCAAUAUUGAUAAUUGAAGGAUGAUGUAAAAUUGAUAGAAAAUGAAAUGUUCUCAGGGAAGGGCAGUGUACCUGAUGAGCUCCAAUAUUCUUGAAGGUGAAAAAGUCUAGUAGCAUCCCCAAUCAACUUAGGAGCUGGAUCUGGGAUCUUGGCCAUGAGAUCUCUGCACCUGUGUUAUUAUUGCUACUCCCUGACCAUUUCACAGAAUGAAAAAUCUCAAAACAAAAGGAAAGGACCUAAUUUACUUUUUUGAGGGAUCCAUAUCACACUCUACAGUUAAGGAAACCCUAGAAAUAAAAUGAAUAUUAAUAGAUCUAAAAUAGAAAGCAAGGGAAACAAAUCCUUGGGUGGGAAGAAAGAAGCAUGUAAAAUGCUGACCUAGGAUUGUUCUCAAACAUCGACCAAGUGGAGACCCACUUAGUAUCACACAUAUGGUGAAAUUCUAUCAAAAGGGUUUAGAAACCAAAAGUUUGAGGACACUCAAUGAAUGAAAUGCUGAAGUCCAUGGAAAAACUCUCCAGCUGUCUUGUUCCAAGAAUUUUGUCUUGGCUCAUGCCCUUAGUCAGAAACACAACUCCUGAAUUGCCUUAUGGUACAUCUAAUUAUGGGAGAGGGUCUAAGAACUAAAUCCACCCCCCAGGUUCCUGUAGUCAUGUUCUCAGGUGCUAACUCAAGUUUUGCCUUGUAACUGAUGGAAAAUAGAUUGGAAGGUUAUAUAAUAAAGUUAUCUAAUAAAGUUUUACCUUAUA